UUGAGCUUUGUCCGGUGUCGAACUUUGCCGUUCGAAGCUGGCGAGACUUGCCGAAAGAAUGUACGGUGGACACGUAAAAAAAAAAAUAAUACCAACUUUGAACCCCUUCAAUUCCCAGAAGGUCCUAACCCCCAAAAAAUCAUUUAAGUGGGUCCUGCUCUGAUUCAUUACCUUUCAUUUGAGCUAUGUCCGGUGUCGAACUUUGCCGUACAGAGCUGGCGAAACUUGCCGAAAGAAUGUACGGUGGACACGUAAAAAAAAAAUAAUACCAACUUUGAACCCCUUCAAUUCCCAGAAGGUCCUAACCCCCAAAAAAUCAUUUAAGUGGGUCCUGCUCUGAUUCAUUACCUUUCAUUUGAGCUUUGUCCGGUGUCGAACUUUGCCGUACGAAGCUGGCGAGACUUGCCGAAAGAAUGUACGGUGGACACGUAAAAAAAAAAUAAUACCAACUUUGAACCCCUUCAAUUCCCAGAAGGUCCUAACCCCCAAAAAAUCAUUUAAGUGGGUCCUGCUCUGAUUCAUUACCUUUCAUUUGAGCUAUGUCCGGUGUCGAACUUUGCCGUACAGAGCUGGCGAAACUUGCCGAAAGAAUGUACGGUGGACACGUAAAAAAAAAAUAAUACCAACUUUGAACCCCUUCAAUUCCCAGAAGGUCCUAACCCCCAAAAAAUCAUUUAAGUGGGUCCUGCUCUGAUUCAUUACCUUUCAUUUGAGCUUUGUCCGGUGUCGAACUUUGCCGUACGAAGCUGGCGAGACUUGCCGAAAGAAUGUACGGUGGGCACGUAAAAAAAAAAAUAAUACCAACUUUGAACCCCUUCAAUUCCCAGAAGGUCCUAACCCCCAAAAAA